AAAGCAAUGGCGAUGUGUCUGACCCAGUGGAAAGGCUUGUCGGGGAACAGGAUCUGGAGCAAAGCUCUGCGGAUCUGCAGAAGGAAGGAACGACAGAGGAAGAAAGAAAGAGACAGUGUCACGUUUUUCUACAGACUUUCUCACUAAACUGAUGGAUAUCUUACCGGGAAGAGAACCACAGGGACGGUAAGAGUGACAGCCACCAGCACAGCCAGACGCACACAGAGAAUCAGGACGUCCCCUGAGCCCACACGACUGUAGGUGUGUAACAGCUCUGACUCCACAGCACC